UACAAGUACCGUGAGGGAAAGUUGCAAAGCACUUUGAAGAGAGAGUUAAAGAGGACGUGAAACCGGUAAGGUGGAAACGGAUAGAGUCGGCGUAUCAUUCAAUUAUUCAGUUACAUUAUUUUUAUGUUGUGACCUCUGAGCUCCAGAUUGGGACAGAGGGAAUCAGCAUAAUUUUUUGUGGUGCAUUUACUUGAUUGGUGCUUGGGGAUGUUUGAGGCAGAUUUGUUUCCGUCGUUUUGAGGCCAGCUUGCUGGUACCCAAACGGUGUUAGCAUUUUUUGUCUUGGGCAUUUGAGUAUGGCUCACGUGUAUUUAUUGGACAGAUCUGAGUGUAAGUUACGGUCGCAUGCGACACGUGCUUUUCAAUUAGUUCGGUCCAGUUAAUGCUCUCGUACUCGUUCCCCAUGUAAAAGCCGGUCAUCUAUCCGACCCGUCUUGAAACACGGACCAAGGAGUUUAUCGUGUGCGCAAGUUUUUGGGUGUUAAAAACCUAAAGGCGAAAUGAAAGUAAAUGGCUCUUUAGAGUCUGAUGUGCGAUCUUGUAAAAAAGUGCAGCAUGGCCCCAUUCUAACUGUUUACAGCAGGGUGGCGGAAGAGCGUACGCGGUGAGACCCGAAAGAUGGUGAACUAUUCCUGAGCAGGACGAAGCCAGAGGAAACUCUGGUGGAAGUCCGAAGCGGUUCUGACGUGCAAAUCAAUCGUCUGACUUGGGUAUAGGGGCGAAAGACUAAUCGAACCAUCUAGUAGCUGGUUCCUUCCGA
rnacentral:rRNA from 1 species